rnacentral:rRNA from 1 species
GACGAACGCUGGCGGCGUGCUUAAUACAUGCAAGUCGAACGGAAAGGCGCUGCUUUUGUGGGGUGCUCGAGUGGCGAACGGGUGAGUAACACGCGAGUAACCUGCCCCUGACUGUGGGAUAACAUUAGGAAACUGGGGCUAAUACCGGAUAGGAUCUCCUGAUGCACGGUGGGGGUUGGAAAGUGUCGGCGGUUGGGGCUGGACUCGCGGCUUAUCCGCUUGUUGGUCGGGUAGUUGCUUACCAAGGCUUUGACGGGUAGCCGGCCUGAGAGGGUGACCGGCCACAUUGGGCCUGCGAUACGGCCCAGACUCCUACGGGACGCAGCAGUGGGGAAUAUUGCACAAUGGGGGGAAGCCUGAUGCAGCAGCGCCGCGUGCGGGAUGACGGCCUUCGGGUUGUAAACCGCUUUCGCCUGUGACGAAGCGUGAGUGACGGUAAUGGGUAAAGAAGCACCGGCUAACUACGUG